GGGCAAAUAGCGUACGGGUUACCGCGUUCGCUUUGCAUGUGGUAUGGGUUGACGAAUGCUGCGAAAGGUCUCCAGUUCAAAUCCGGAUUUGUCCA